CGGGGACGGUCAGCGUGUCUGAACGUGUAGAGUUCAUCAAACAGCACGAGACGAGCUGCAGUAAACACAAAGAGUGUUUGUCUACAAGUUACCAGUGUUUAUAUGUUCAGAGCCUUUGUGGUGGAGCAGAAGCUGUAGGUGGAGGUUUUAGGGUCAUGUGAAGGGGGACAACAUCAGAUUAAAAUACAAAGAGCUUUGAAUGUGCUGGAAAUGGAACACUGAACCUUUACCACCUUCAGUGAGGACAGAGAGUGUGGAAGAACCUGUACUGAACAGCAGGACAGAAGUGGACCUUCAGCAGCUGGAGAGAGAGGGAAGAGAGAGAUGAUGACAGAGCAGACAGAUUCUCCAGGCUGUUGAAUUAGUCUUAAAUGUGUCUAAUGUGUUCUAAUGUGCACUACACCAAUCCAAAUGGACUCCUCACAGCUGAACUCCUCUCCAUGUGUACUCAGGCUGGGUAAACAGCUGGACUCCUCUCCGUGUGUACUCAGGCUGGGUGAACAGCUGGACUCCUCUCCGUGUGUACUCAGGCUGGGUGAACAGCUGGACUCCUCUCCGUGUGUACUCAGGCUGGGUGAACAGCUGGACUCCUCUCCAUGUGUACUCAGGCUGGGUAAACAGCUGGACUCUUCACUGUGUGUACUCAGACUGGGUAAACAGCUGGACACUUCACUGUGUGUGCUCAGGCUGGGUGAACAGCUGGACUCUUCACUGUGUGUGCUCAGGCUGGGUGAACAGCUGGACUCUUCACUGUGUGUGCUCAGGCUGGGUGAACAGCUGGACUCUUCACUGUGUGUACUCAGGCUGGGUGAACAGCUGGACUCCUCUCCGUGUGUACUCAGGCUGGGUAAUCAGCUGGACUCUUCACUUUGUGUACUCAGGCUGGGUAAACAUAAUCAGCUGGACUCUUCACUGUGUGUACUCAGGCUGGGUAAACAUAAUCAGCUGGACUCUUCACUGUGUGUACUCAGGCUGGGUAAACAUAAUCAGCUGGACUCUUCACUGUGUGUACUCAGGCUGGGUAAACAGUUGGACUCUGCCCAGCCUGAGUACACACAGUGAAAUCAGCUGGACUCUUCACUGUGUGUACUUUGGCUGGGUAAACGGCUGGACUCUUCACUGUAUAUAAUUAGGUUAGGCAAACAGCUGGACUCUUCACUGUGUGUACUCAGGUUGGGUAAACAGCUGGACUGUUCACUUUGUGUACUCAGGCUGGGUGAACAUAAACAGCUGGACUCUUCACUGUGUGUACUCGGACCUUCUAUAUAACUUCAUCUUCGUUUAGAAAUAUUUGAAGGGGCUGAAUUGCAUAUAUUAGACUCUAGAAACAUAAAUAAACUGUCUAUAAUUUGUAAUACAGUUAACAGAGGUUAUUUUCUUUACUGUUAGGUACACUCUUUUUUUCACAUUUAAAUGUUUAUUUAGUUUUUUUUUUUACACAAGUAGACAUAGAUGUAAGAUAUAUACAAUGAUGAAACAUCACAGACAGGGUGAC